rnacentral:sRNA from 1 species
UGGCCGUGUCUCUGCCUGCGGCAGAGUA